GACGAACCGUGCGAACGUUAUUCGGAAUCACUGGGCUUAAAGCGCGUGUAGGCGGGACGGCACGUCUGUCGCUGAAAUCCCCCGGCUUAACCGGGGAACUGGCGGAGAUACGACCGGUCCUGGAGGGGCGUAGGGGGACCUGGAACUUUCGGUGGAGCGGUGAAAUGCGUUGAGAUCGGAAGGAACGCCCGUGGCGAAAGCGAGGUCCUGGACGCCUACUGACGCUGAGACGCGAAAGCCAGGGGAGCGAACGGG
rnacentral:rRNA from 1 species